ensembl:lncRNA
AUCUUGGUGUAUUGAGAUUCAGGGCUGAACAGAUGAAAUGUUCUGAUAAAAAAGGACCCAAGGACGGGAGAGAUGUUUCUGCUUCUCAUUAAUGUUUCGCUCUUACUUGAAGUACCUUUUUGGUUGCUUUUACUUUUUCAAAGUAAAUUUUCAAAUUAUCAAACUAUCUUUGUCUUGAUAAUUUGAAGACCUAAUUAAUUAUUGUACAUUGAACAUAAUGUGUGCAUUGUGAGCACACAUAAAGGAAUGUUAAGGAGAAUUCUAUGUUGUCUAGGCACUGAUACGUAUAGAAGGAAACUGACUUAACCAGGGCCCCCAGGAUCACCUUGGGUCUAGAAGCCAUCACUGCUCCUGGAACUUUGCCCCCGCCUGGCUGAACAGGGUAAUGCCCUGAAGACACACACUGUCCGAAUCCCUACUGAAUGAUGUUGAAAGUGAGAAUUCAGUCAUGGAAUCUGCCUUCCUUGAACACCAAAUGAAGUCUGAAAUGGGAACUGACUUUCCGAGAGCCUAACUCAUGGAGAAUACAGAGGCACAAUCCUUCUAGGUAUUAGUAUUAGUUCAGUGGGGAUAAGGAUAUUUGGAAAGACCCUGAAGGACCACUCAGGGCCGGCUGGUAUAGAUGAGCUAGAUAGUACAUAUUAGUCAGUAUUUGAAUGCAUUUAGCAAGGAGACCAGUAAGAAUGACAAAAAAUAUUAAAAAUGCCACACUGACUGCUUCCUGAUGGCCACUGGCACCACCCUCACCAUUGCCGAGGAUACUGUACGCUAAUCAUGAAGAAGUUACAGAGUCAUGAGUCUGUUUCUCUGAAGGAGGUACAAGAGGAUUCAUCCAGCCAGUUGUGACUCUCAGCACUGCCUACUGUCAAGGAGAAGAAGGGGCAUGGUGCUGGGUACCUACAGGCACCAGAACAUUCCUGAGGACUCACACCACAGGGAAAGAAAACCUGGAAAUGUCAGAGCUGAUGAAGAGCAAUUAGGAAUGAAAAUACAAUCCAUUGAAUCAGAUAAGAAACAAACUCAGCAGGAUGCUUCUUGUUGCUGUUAUUCCAUUCAUAAGAAAAUGUCAUCCACUCAAAAUCAUUUGAUUUUCUGCAGCAAAUUCCUUGAUACAAAAAAGAUCCUGGGGUUUAUAUAGGGCAUUACCACAUUUAGUGAAAAAUUCACCCAUUUUUUUCCGCCAUAAAUGUGUAAUUUUUAGAUCAAUUUAGAUCAAGGAAGCUAUUCUCUGAUAUAAUAAAGAGAAAAGAAUCUUGAACCUGGUUAAGAGUGGUCUCAAGCCAAAACAGAUAAUUUCUACAGAACGCAAUAAAUACUCUUUGGUUCUGUGUGGUGAUAUUGCCUCCCAGACAUUUUAAGGCUUAACACCUAAAGAAUGGGUUGAUUUUAAAUUAAUAAAUGAAUAGAAAAGGAAUAAAAUCUUCUGUCUUUGUUAAUGUCAGACUUUCCUAACCUUUUUCUAAUCAUCUUAUCAAUAUUUUGUACUUUUUUCCUGUUCCUUUUAAUUCUUUUGGCAUUUACUCAAGGUCUGUCUUUUGGCCUUUUGUUGCUCUGUGUUCUCUCUCUAGGCCUUCUCAACCACUCUCAUCACUUCAACCAUCUUGAAUGUUUUGGAAACCUGUAUUGGGUCCCAACAUUUUCUUGUGGUCCAAAGUGAUAACAACAACAGGCUGAGCAUGGUGGCUCACACCUGUAAUCCCAGCAGUUUGGGAGGCCUAGGUGGGUGGAUCACCUGAGGUCGGGAGUUUGAGAGCAGCCUGGCCAAUGUGGCAAAACCCCAUCUCUACUAAAAAUAAAAAAAUUAGCCAAAUAUGAUGGCAUGCACCUGUAGUCCCACCUACUUGGGAGGCUGAGGCAGGAGGAUUGCUUGAACCUGGAAGGCAGAGGUUGCAGUGAGCUGAGAUCAUGCCACUGCACUCCAGCUGGGGCAACAGAAUAAGACUCCAUCUCAAACAAGACAAAACAAAACAAAACAAAACAAAAAAACUCACUAAGUGAUAACAACAAUAAUGGCAACAUUCAUUGUAUACUUACUAUGUGCUGGGCACUGGGUUAACAAGUGAACAUGCAUAAUCUCAUUUAAUUCUUACAGCCACCUGUAAGAUAGAUGCCAUUAUUGUCUUCGUUUUGCAGGAAAAAAAACUAAAGUUGAGUGAUAUCACACACUUCCCCUAGAGUCAUACAGAUAAUAAACAACUAAACUGGGUUUUAAACCCGGACAGUUUCACUCUAAAGUGAGUGUUUUGUUUUCAGCCACCUGCUAAGCAUCUGCCCUUGAAUCUCCUAUAGGCCUCUUAAAGCCAAUCUACAUAAAACACAUUUCCAAUUAUUCCUGCUUCCCUUUUGGCAAUUAAUUCAUGUGUUCCACAAAUAAGAAUUAAUCAAGCAUCAUGAAGAGUCAGAUGGAAGCCUAUGCACUGAGGAUGAAAUGUUGAACAAAAUAGUAGUGAUUCCUGCAUGUAUAGAGUUUACUUUUUAGAGAGGGGAGACUCUCAUUAAUUACAUUAUUUUGCAAACAGAUAAUUAUUCCAAGCUGGAAUAAGUGCUAAGAUGGGAAAGUAAAAUAUGCUGUGGGAGCAUCUAAUAGGAGACCUGCUUUCUUUGAGGGGAAGAUAGGGAAGGGGGAAUGUGAGAAGGGCUUCCCCUAUAAAUUGCUAUUUAAGUUGAGAUCAAAAAGAUGAGUAGUAGUUAACUAGGCAAGGGAUGACUUCCAGGCAGAGAUUCCAAUACCUACAAAGGCCCUGAGAUGAGAGGGAGCUUAGCAUAUUAGAGAGACUGAGAAAAAAAUUGGUAUAUCUGGGACAGUGGUCAAAGUUACAAGGGUAGCAAGGAUAAGACCAUGUAGGCCCUCCUAAGAUGUGCUAAAUAUUUUCCUCUUGUUCUAAGACCACUGAAAAGUCCUUAGGAGUGUUUAAUUAUUGUAGUAAAGGAAUAAAAUCUAUGUCUUGAAGAUGCCAUUCUGGCUGCUGUUGGGAGGCUGGUUUGGAGGGGGAAGAGUAGAUUCAGGGAAACCAGUGAGGAGGAUAUUUCAUAAUCUCUCUAAGUGAGAGAUUAUGGUCUUAUCUCUCAUUAUUUCUGUUUAAAGAAGGAUUGUAGUCUUGGAGAUAGAGAUGAAAGACAUUCAAAUAUGCCUUUCCAUUCAAAUCAGAAAUCUUGGACUUAUCUCAACUUCAUCCUUUUUCCUACUCAUUUUAUCCAAUUAGACUCCUGUUGAUUUUACCUCAACAUGUCUUGUGUCUUUUCCCCUUUCUUCAUUUUUAUGGCUACUACCUGAG